rfam:Danio rerio chromosome 4, GRCz11 reference primary assembly.
GCCGUGAUCGUAUAGUGGUUAGUAGUCUGCGUUGUGGCUGCAGCAACCCCCGUUCGAAUCCGGGUCACGGCA